rnacentral:rRNA from 1 species
CCUACGGGGGGCAGCAGUGGGGAAUAUUGGACAAUGGGCGAAAGCCUGAUCCAGCCAUGCCGCGUGUGUGAAGAAGGCCUUCGGGUUGUAAAGCACUUUCAGUGGGGAAGAAAGCCUUGGGGCUAAUACCCUCGAGGAAGGACAUCACCCACAGAAGAAGCACCGGCUAACUCCGUGCCAGCAGCCGCGGUAAUACGGAGGGUGCGAGCGUUAAUCGGAAUUACUGGGCGUAAAGCGCGCGUAGGCGGUCUGAUAAGCCGGUUGUGAAAGCCCCGGGCUCAACCUGGGAACGGCAUCCGGAACUGUCAGGCUAGAGUGCAGUAGAGGAAGGUAGAAUUCCCGGUGUAGCGGUGAAAUGCGUAGAGAUCGGGAGGAAUACCAGUGGCGAAGGCAGCCUUCUGGACUGACACUGACGCUGAGGUGCGAAAGCGUGGGUAGCAAACAGGAUUAGAUACCCCAGUAGUC